rnacentral:rRNA from 1 species
UGGGGAAUUUUGGACAAUGGGGGAAACCCUGAUCCAGCCAUCCCGCGUGUGCGAUGAAGGCCUUCGGGUUGUAAAGCACUUUUGGCAGGAAAGAAACGUCAUGGGUUAAUACCCCGUGAAACUGACGGUACCUGCAGAAUAAGCACCGGCUAACUACGUGCCAGCAGCCGCGGUAAUACGUAGGGUGCAAGCGUUAAUCGGAAUUACUGGGCGUAAAGCGUGAGCAGGCGGUUCGGAAAGAAAGAUGUGAAAUCCCAGAGCUCAACUUUGGAACUGCAUUUUUAACUACCGGGCUAGAGUGUGUCAGAGGGAGGUGGAAUUCCGCGUGUGGCAGUGCAAUGCGUAGAUAUGCGGAGGAACACCGAUGGCGAAGGCAGCCUCCUGGGAUAACACUGACGCUCAUGCACGAAAGCGUGGGGAGCAAACAGG